UGCUGGUCCAAGUGCAGUGAUGUUUGCAACUAACUGAUUACAGCCAGUUAUAGAUUCCUUUGUUCCUUCUCCAGUCUCACUGCUUCACUUGACCAGCCAAA
rnacentral:Y_RNA from 1 species